rnacentral:rRNA from 1 species
AUUGAACGCUGGCGGCAGGCCUAACACAUGCAAGUCGAGCGAGCGGCGGACGGGUGAGGAAUGUCUGGGAAACUGCCUGAUGGAGGGGGAUAACUACUGGAAACGGUAGCUAAUACCGCAUACCAUCAGAUGUGCCCAGCUGGGAUUAGCUAGUUGGUGGGGUAAUGGCUCACCUCGGCGACGAUCCCUAGCUGGUCUGAGAGGAUGACCAGCGACACGGGAACGGGAACACGGUCCAGACUCCUACGGUAGGGAGCAGUGGGGAACAGUGCACAAUGGGCGCAAGCCUGAUGCAGCCAUGCAGCGUGUGUGAAGAAGGCCCUCGGGUUGUAAAGGACUUUUGUCAGGGAAGCGGUACCUGCAGAAGAAGCACCGGCUAACUACGUGCCAGCAGCCGCGGUAAUAC